rnacentral:pre_miRNA from 1 species
AUAAUACUCCCUCCGUCCGGAAAUACUUGUCAUCAAAAUGAAUAAAAAGGGAUGUAUCUAGAUGUAUUUUAGUUUUGGAUACAUCUCUUUUUAUCCAUUUUGAUGACAAGUAUUUUCGGACGGAGGGAGUAAUAG